rnacentral:rRNA from 1 species
CCUACGGGAGACAGCAGUAGGGCAUAUUGCUCAAUGGGGGAAACCCUGAAGCAGCAACGCCGCGUGGAGGAUGAAGGUUUUCGGAUUGUAAACUCCUUUUGUUAGAGAAGAUAAUGACGGUAUCUAACGAAUAAGCACCGGCUAACUCCGUGCCAGCCGCCGCGGUCAUACGGAGGGUGCAAGCGUUACUCGGAAUCACUGGGCGUAAAGAGCGCGUAGGCGGGAUAGCAAGUCAGAUGUGAAAUCCUAUGGCUUAACCAUAGAACUGCAUUUGAAACUGUUAUUCUAGAGUAUGGGAGAGGUAGGUGGAAUUCUUGGUGUAGGGGUAAAAUCCGUAGAGAUCAAGAGGAAUACUCAUUGCGAAGGCGACCUGCUAGAACAUAACUGACGCUGAUGCGCGAAAGCGUGGGGAGCAAACAGGAUUAGAUACCCGGGUAGUC